GUGUCAGCAAAGCUGCUGCUCAGGCGCAGGUUGCAAUGUCUGCUGAAUCCCGGGUCUCUCCGUGCUCUCACCCGCCUGCCUGCUGCUGGAUGCUUCCUCCCGGAAAGCAGCCCUGGGAGAAGACUCUUGAGGAGAAACACAAACCAUUUCCUGUUCUUGGCUUGAAUGAAGUUUGCCUACUGGUUGGAAUUCCAUUUCCUGUUACCUACCAAUGAUUCCUGCUUGGAUGAAGUUCGAAAGGCUGAAGACGUGUAUGUAGUUUGGCCUUGUCCACGGAGGCUCCAGAUACUACUCUGUGGUAUCCAGAUACAUCCGUACAAAUCACUGUGUAUCACUGGCGCUGAGAAGUAACCAAACCAAAAGGAAAUGAGAAAGAAGAAAAGCAGGAUGUUAACAAUGCUCUCAAUUAGGGCUGAAGAAGUGUGUCUAACACUCUUGAAAAAAACACGCAUUCCCUGACGACCUGAGUGCCCGAGUUCACGUAAAGCACAGGUUUUUUUUUUUGUUUUUUUUUUUUCACGCUCAGGUUUCCAGCUUUCACUUGACUCCCACAGCUGUGUGUCUGAAUAUUCAGUAGCGAGGUGGGAAGGAGGGGUCAGCGGGUCAGCUUUCACUGGAUAGUGGAAUCAAGCUCUAGGAGAACCUGGGAUAUCCGGAUGUUUGAGCUCUGACGCUUCCAACAGAAAACACAUUCAUGAUGAAUUAUCUUAAAUUAAACUUUAAUGGCCUUUAAACUGUAGAUAAAGCAUUGCAGAAUCAAGUCUCCUGUGCGGGUAAACAUCGUUAGUGUCGAAGCAGCAACACUUCUUUGGCUUCUACCUCCCUCCGGGUUUUCUCACAGUUCCAAGGAUCCUUUCCUGCCUCAUAAGAAUGCCAAUAAGCUUUUCUUUCUGACUUCCCCAGCGUGCUUCCCGAGUUAAUAGCUGGCUUUUGACUUGUCGCUUGUGAAAAAGAAGUAAAAGUGCUAGUUCUCCUCUGAGGUGAAACUUUACCUGCCAUCCGCAAAUGCUGGCUCUACCAGAGCCUCGUGAUCUGUCAGCUCGCAGGAAAUCCUCGGGGAAAUGCAAAGGACAGGCCCACCUCCACAGCCUAGCAAGCUUCUGCUUAGUCACCUUCGUGGGAUGAGGGCUGUCACAGCACACCGAGGGGUCUGUAUACACUCAGGCGCUCCCUGCGAGACACAAAACAACUGGGAAGCCUGACCUUAUACCACAGAUCACCAUCUGUGGAGUUUUGACUUCACAAUUUCUUCUUCCCUUCCAAGUGAAAGCCUUCCUUCAUGCAGCCUGCCUUUCUGGAUUGAGUUGAGGUGUGUGUCUGUGUGUGUGUGUGUGGGGGUGGCCAGAGAGAGAAUACCGGGACUGCUGUGGACUCGUGGGUUCCCAAAGAGGCCCUGUGGUUCACUUCCUGAAGCACACCUUGACAGUCUCAGCUUGAAUGAGCUGACAGAAACACGGACAUGGCAACCCUCCUACAACUUAUACAACCAUGAGACACAGGUUGUAAACCUCGGAAAGCUGGCACAUCGCAAGGCAACUUCAUGCUCUCCCGUUCGGCCCCUGGAAGGAGGCGCAGACCUUCCCGAACCAUCCCGUCCAACAUCUUCCUUCCUUCCUUCCUUCCUUCCUUCCUUCCUUCCUUCCUUCCUUCCUUCCUUCCUUCCUUCCUUCCUUCCUUCCUUCCUUCCUUCCUUCCUUCCUCCUUCCUUCCUUCCUUCCUUCCUCCCUUCCUCCCUCCCCUUCCCUCUCCCUCCCCUCCCCCCUCUCUCCCUGUCCCUCCUUUUCUUUCUCCCUCCUUUUCUUCCUUCCUAUCUCUCCAGGUCAGUGUGGACUUUUUGUUGAUGUUAAAUGAUAUUUUUUGCUUUAUCGCUGCUUCAUCUCCAAGGCAACAAGCACUAUAAACAAUCUACCUAUUAAAGUCUAUGCACUGGUUUCCUUUACUCUUACUGUGAAAAAUGCUGGUUUAAAACGCCUCAAGGAAGAAAGGGCUUAAGGGCUGAUUUUAGCUCAUAGUUCUUGGUGGGGACCUCUUAGCAGAAGUUUGAAGCAGCUGGCCAUGCACGCUCCUUAGUUUGGAAAUGAAGACUGACUGUGAGUGCCGUGGUUCAGCCAGCUUUCUCUGUUUUUAUGUCAUCCAGGAUCCCAUCCACCCCACCCUAUAACAGACACCACAUUCAGAGUGAGACCUCACCUCAGUUCAUUCUAUCAGGAUAAUCCCUU